GAGAGUGAGCACACAGAGGCA
rnacentral:miRNA from 1 species